UCUGGUUGAUCCUGGCGGAGGCCAUUGCUAUUGGGAUCCGAUUUAGCCAUGCUAGUCGCACGAGUUCAGACUCGUGGCGAAUAGCUCAGCAACACGUGGCCAAACUACCCUUCGGAACACAAUACCCUCGGGAAACUGAGGCUAAUAGUGUAUACCAUACCACCACUGGAAUGAGUGGUAUGCCAAACGCUCCGGCGCCGAAGGAUGUGGCUGCGGCCGAUUAGGUAGACGGUGGGGUAACGGCCCACCGUGCCAAUAAUCGGUAUGGGUCAUGAGAGUGAGAACCCAGAGACGGAAUCUGAGACAAGAUUCCGGGCCCUACGGGGCGCAGCAGGCGCGAAACCUUUACACUGCACGACAGUGCGAUAGGGGGAUCCCAAGUGCACAGGCAUAGCGCCUGUGCUUUUCGGUACCCUAAGGCGGUACCAGAAUAAGGGCUGGGCAAGACCGGUGCCAGCCGCCGCGGUAAUACCGGCAGCCCAAGUGAUGGCCGAUCUUAUUGGGCCUAAAGCGUCCGUAGCUGGCCGCGCAAGUCCAUCGGGAAACCCACCUGCUCAACAGGUGGGCGCCCGGUAGAAACUGUGUGGCUUGGGACCGGAAGGCGCGACGGGUACGUCCGGGGUAGGAGUGAAAUCCCGUAAUCCUGGACGGACCGCCGAUGGCGAAAGCACGUCGCGAGAACGGAUCCGACAGUGAGGGACGAAAGCCAGGGUCUCGAACCGGAUUANAUACCCGGGUAGUCCUGGCCGUAAACAAUGUCUGCUAGGUGUGGCUCCCACUACNAGUGGGUGCUGUGCCGUANGGGAACCNCUAAACAAACCGCCUGGG
rnacentral:rRNA from 1 species